CUUGCCGGGCUUCUUGUCGUCGCGGGGCACCUUGACGAAGCACUCGUUGAGCGAGAGGUUGUGGCGGAUGCUGUUCUGCCAGCCCUGCUUGUUCUCCCGGUAGAAGGGGAAGCGGUCCAUGAUGAACUGGUAGAUGCCGUUCAAGGGUUUCCUUGCACCCUUCCUGGCUGUUCAUCGGCUGCGUAUUCGAUUCUCAGCAAAAGGAUGUUGAGACAACCCACCAGGCCUCUUCGCUUCGGCCUCUUCGCUUCGGGGAGGCGACUAGAAGGCAAUGGGGCGUGCCACUUAUUUCCAAUAAAAGAACAGAAGACGAAAAUGUAG
rnacentral:lncRNA from 1 species